rnacentral:rRNA from 1 species
UACGAAGGGGGCUAGCGUUGCUCGGAAUCACUGGGCGUAAAGCGCACGUAGGCGGAUCGCUAAGUCAGGGGUGAAAUCCUGGAGCUCAACUCCAGAACUGCCUUUGAUACUGAAGAUCUUGAGUUCGGGAGAGGUGAGUGGAACUGCGAGUGUAGAGGUGAAAUUCGUAGAUAUUCGCAAGAACACCAGUGGCGAAGGCGGCGCACUGGCCCGAUACUGACGCUGAUGCACGAAAGCGUGGGGAGCAAACAGG